UACGGGGGGGACGAGCGUUGUUCGGAUUUACUGGGCGUAAAGGGCGUGUAGGCGGACUUUCAAGUCGGAAGUGAAAACCGGAGGCUUAACCUCAGGCUUGCUUACGAUACUGUUGGUCUUGAGUGCAGAAGAGGAAAGCGGAAUUCCAGGUGUAGCGGUGAAAUGCGUAGAUAUCUGGAAGAACACCAGUAGCGAAGGCGGCUUUCUGGUCUGACACUGACGCUAAAGCGCGAAGGCUAGGGGAGCAAACAGG
rnacentral:rRNA from 1 species